CCUACGGGUGGCAGCAGUGGGGAAUAUUGCACAAUGGGGGAAACCCUGAUGCAGCGACGCCGCGUGAGGGAAGAAGUAAUUCGGUAUGUAAAGCUCUAUCAGCAGGGAAGAAAAUGACGGUACCUGAGUAAGAAGCCCCGGCUAACUACGUGCCAGCAGCCGCGGUAAUACGUAGGGGGCAAGCGUUAUCCGGAUUUACUGGGUGUAAAGGGAGCGUAGACGGCAGUGCAAGUCUGGAGUGAAAGGCGGGGGCUCAACCCCCGGACUGCUCUGGAAACUGUAAGGCUGGAGUGCAGGAGAGGUAAGUGGAAUUCCUGGUGUAGCGGUGAAAUGCGUAGAUAUUAGGAGGAACACCAGUGGCGAAGGCGGCUGACUGGACUGUAACUGACGUUGAGGCUCGAAAGCGUGGGGAGCAAACAGGAUUAGAUACCCCUGUAGUC
rnacentral:rRNA from 1 species